UACGUAGGGUGCAAGCGUUAUCCGGAAUUAUUGGGCGUAAAGAGCUCGUAGGCGGUUUGUCGCGUCUGCUGUGAAAACUGGAGGCUCAACCUCCAGCCUGCAGUGGGUACGGGCAAACUAGAGUGCGGUAGGGGAGAUUGGAAUUCCUGGUGUAGCGGUGGAAUGCGCAGAUAUCAGGAGGAACACCGAUGGCGAAGGCAGAUCUCUGGCCGUAACUGACGCUGAGGAGCGAAAGCAUGGGGAGCGAACAGG
rnacentral:rRNA from 1 species